rnacentral:rRNA from 1 species
UACAGAGGGUGCGAGCGUUGUCCGGAAUCACUGGGCGUAAAGGGCGCGUAGGCGGCUUGAUAAGGUUGCGGUGAAAGCCCGGGGCUCAACCCCGGGUCGGCCGUGGCAACUGUCGAGCUGGAGCACUGUAGAGGCAGGUGGAAUUCCGGGUGUAGCGGUGGAAUGCGUAGAGAUCCGGAAGAACACCGGUGGCGAAGGCGGCCUGCUGGGCAGUGGCUGACGCUGAGGCGCGACAGCGUGGGGAGCAAACAGGAUUG